UACGUAGGGGGCAAGCGUUGUCCGGAUUUAUUGGGCAUAAAGGGUUCGCAGGUGGUCCUUUAAGUCAGAUGUGAAAGCUCACAGCUCAACUGUGGUAAGCAUUUGAAACUGAAGGACUUGAGUUAAGGAGAGGAAAGUGGAAUUCCGAGUGUAGCGGUGAAAUGCGUAGAUAUUAGGAGGAAUACCAGUGGCGAAGGCGACUUUCUGGACUGAUACUGACACUGAGGAACGAAAGCGUGGGGAGCAAACAGG
rnacentral:rRNA from 1 species